rnacentral:rRNA from 1 species
GAUGAACGCUGGCGGCGUGCUUAACACAUGCGAGUCGAACGGAAAGGCUCCUGCUUGCCGGGGUACUCGAGUGGCGAACGGGUGAGUAACACGUGGGUGAUCUGCCCUGCACUUCGGGAUAAGCCUGGGAAACUGGGUCUAAUACCGGAUAGGACCACAUUUUGGAUGGUGUGGUGGAAAGUUUUUCGGUGUGGGAUGAGCUCGCGGCCUAUCAGCUUGUUGGUGGGGUAAUGGCCUACCAAGGCGUCGACGGGUAGCCGGCCUGAGAGGGUGUACGGCCACAUUGGGACUGAGAUACGGCCCAGACUCCUACGGGAGGCAGCAGUGGGGAAUAUUGCACAAUGGGCGCAAGCCUGAUGCAGCGACGCCGCGUGGGGGAUGACGGCCUUCGGGUUGUAAACUCCUUUCGCUAGGGACGAAGCGCAAGUGACGGUACCUGGAGAAGAAGCACCGGCUAACUACGUG